GACAGGGUAUGGAGGUUAUGGUUUUGGCGCCCAUACCGGACGGAGUAUGGGGACGGCCCUGGAAUCAAGUUAUUAAUGUUAAUGGUUCACGGAUAACGGGGACCCCCUAUGGAUCUCCAUGGAUACUAGUAGGCUGGUAAAAGAGGAAAAUAUGUUGUUUAAUGAUUGAAAUGCAAAGGCGUGGUAAGUGUUAUGUUAUAAAGUCUAUAUGAUUUCAUGAUGAUGAUAAUGUUAUUGCUUUCAUAUGUUGUUUUCAUGGAUCUCACCGAGGUAAGUGGACAAUAAAGGUUUUUAUGUUAAUAAACGAGUUUGUUAUAAAUUAUGCUCCAUUGGUCAUUUUUGUUUCUACCCACCUUUACUUCCGUGGCGAU
rnacentral:lncRNA from 1 species